GCCCAUUUUUUUUCUUCAUGCUAGAAAUGUUCUCACAUGAGUUUUUUCUCAUAUCCAGAAGGUUUUGUCACCCCUUCUCUGGUUUUAUUUGGAUGAGGACAAGAUUGGUUCUUCAUUCAAAUUUAAAAGAGUUUGAAUUUGACUUGAAACAACCUUAAACCUAACCUUAUCUUUAUCUUGUCGCCUACACCCUUUGGAAGGCUGAGUUUUGUGUGACAAUUUGAGAAGA
rnacentral:lncRNA from 1 species